rnacentral:rRNA from 1 species
GACGAACGCUGGCGGCGUGCCUAAUACAUGCAAGUAGAACGCUGAAGGAGGAGCUUGCUUCUCGGGAUGAGUUGCGAACGGGUGAGUAACGCGUAGGUAACCUGCCUGGUAGCGGGGGAUAACUAUUGGAAACGAUAGCUAAUACCGCAUAAGAGUGGAUGUUGCAUGACAUUUGCUUAAAAGGUGCAAUUGCAUCACUACCAGAUGGACCUGCGUUGUAUUAGCUAGUUGGUGGGGUAACGGCUCACCAAGGCGACGAUACAUAGCCGACCUGAGAGGGUGAUCGGCCACACUGGGACUGAGACACGGCCCAGACUCCUACGGGAGGCAGCAGUAGGGAAUCUUCGGCAAUGGACGGAAGUCUGACCGAGCAACGCCGCGUGAGUGAAGAAGGUUUUCGGAUCGUAAAGCUCUGUUGUAAGAGAAGAACGAGUGUGAGAGUGGAAAGUUCACACUGUGACGGUAUCUUACCAGAAAGGGACGGCUAACUACGUG